UGGGGAAUAUUGCACAAUGGGCGCAAGCCUGAUGCAGCCAUGCCGCGUGUGUGAAGAAGGCCUUCGGGUUGUAAAGCACUUUCAGCGAGGAGGAAGGUGGUGAACUUAAUACGUUCAUCAAUUGACGUUACUCGCAGAAGAAGCACCGGCUAACUCCGUGCCAGCAGCCGCGGUAAUACGGAGGGUGCAAGCGUUAAUCGGAAUUACUGGGCGUAAAGCGCACGCAGGCGGUUUGUUAAGUCAGAUGUGAAAUCCCCGGGCUCAACCUGGGAACUGCAUUUGAAACUGGCAAGCUAGAGUCUCGUAGAGGGGGGUAGAAUUCCAGGUGUAGCGGUGAAAUGCGUAGAGAUCUGGAGGAAUACCGGUGGCGAAGGCGGCCCCCUGGACGAAGACUGACGCUCAGGUGCGAAAGCGUGGGGAGCAAACAGGAUUAGAUACCCCUGGUAGUCCACGCUGUAAAACGAUGUCGAUUUUGGAGGUUGUGCCCUUGAGGCGUGGCUUCCGGAGCUAACGCGUUAAAUCGACCGCCUGGGGAGUACGGCCGCAAGGUUAAAACUC
rnacentral:rRNA from 1 species